rnacentral:rRNA from 1 species
CCUACGGGAGGCAGCAGUGGGGAAUUUUGGACAAUGGGCGCAAGCCUGAUCCAGCCAUGCCGCGUGAGUGAAGAAGGCCUUCGGGUUGUAAAGCUCUUUCGGCAGGAACGAAAUGGUUCGUGCUAAUACCACGGACUGAUGACGGUACCUGAAGAAGAAGCACCGGCUAACUACGUGCCAGCAGCCGCGGUAAUACGUAGGGUGCAGGCGUUAAUCGGAAUUACUGGGCGUAAAGCGUGCGCAGGCGGUUUCUUAAGUCAGAUGUGAAAGCCCCGGGCUUAACCUGGGAACUGCGUUUGAAACUGGGAGACUUGAGUGUGGCAGAGGGGGGUGGAAUUCCACGUGUAGCAGUGAAAUGCGUAGAUAUGUGGAGGAACACCGAUGGCGAAGGCAGCCCCCUGGGCUAACACUGACGCUCAUGCACGAAAGCGUGGGGAGCAAACAGGAUUAGAUACCCUGGUAGUCCACGCCCUAAACUAUGUCAACUGGUUGUCGGGAGAUUAACUCUCUUGGUAACGAAGCUAACGCGUGAAGUUGACCGCCUGGGGAGUACGGCCGCAAGGUUAAAACUUAAAUGAAUUGACGG